CGCCUUAACUACAUGUCCCCCGUGUUUUAAAAACUUCCGAACAACACGCAGUUCCUAAAUCAAUGUCACCCAUGUUAUUGAACACUUUCCCUAAAAAAUGGGCCUUAUGAUUCGGCCAUAUUUAUAAGUAGGCCCAUUUUUAGCCCAAUGCAAAUGUCGCAUUUAUCCCCACACCGCCACAGGUAAGUCUUAUAAAUAAAGACCUAACCCUCACUAUCC